UACAACUUUCAACAACGGAUCUCUUGGCUCUCGCAUCGAUGAAGAACGCAGCGAAAUGCGAUAACUAAUGUGAAUUGCAGAAUUCAGUGAAUCAUCGAGUCUUUGAACGCACCUUGCGCCCUUUGGUAUUCCGAAGGGCAUGCCUGUCUGAGUGUCAGU
rnacentral:rRNA from 1 species